UACGGAGGAUGCGAGCGUUAUCCGGAUUUAUUGGGUUUAAAGGGUGCGUAGGCGGACUGUCAAGUCAGCGGUAAAAUUGAGAGGCUCAACCUCUUCCCGCCGUUGAAACUGGUGGUCUUGAGUGGAUGGGAAGUACGCGGAAUGCGUGGUGUAGCGGUGAAAUGCAUAGAUAUCACGCAGAACUCCGAUUGCGAAGGCAGCGUACCGGCAUCCAACUGACGCUGAGGCACGGAAGCGUGGGGAUCAAACAGG
rnacentral:rRNA from 1 species